UUCUUCUUGGCUGACCUGGAUCCUUUUUUCAAAUCUCUGAAAUUUUUUCAGAGGUUGAAGAUGGACUUCUAAAGGAGAUUAAGAGGUAAAAGAAAGAUGGAGAGAAAAAUAAUUUUUUUCUUAUUUUUUUCUCUUUCCUAAUCCAAAGGAUUAAAACCUAGAAUUCAGAUUUUUACACACACCCCAAGAAAAAGGACUCUCCUCUCUAUUUUUCAUGCCAUGAACCAUGCCCCC
rnacentral:lncRNA from 1 species